rnacentral:lncRNA from 1 species
CCCCAUCACCCUCCCUCAAUCCAUCUCUAUCUCUCCCACAUUCCAUAAGCUCUCUCUCUCUCCUCCCCCCCCUUUUCCUUGCUCUCCCUCUUCUCUAUGCAUGCUUUCCCUCUUCCAUGAUCUCUCCCAUCCCAUGUCUCUCUCUUUCUUCUCUUCUUUUUCUUCUUCUUCUUUUCUUCUUCUCCUUUUCCUCUGUGCUAAAUGCCAGCUCAUCUCUUCUUCAUCCUCCACUCAGGUAAACCCUAAAUCUAACCUCUUGCCUUCAUAUUCUUUUUAUUAAAUUAUGUUCUUGUUGUUA